UGGAUUAUGUUGUUUAAUUCGACGCAACGCGAAGAACCUUACCAGGCCUUGACAUACUCGGCAAAGCUUUAGAGAUAGAGUGGAGGUUAUCCGGGAUACAGGUGGUGCAUGGUUGUCGUCAGCUCGUGUCGUGAGAUGUUGGGUUAAGUCCCGCAACGAGCGCAACCCCUGCACUUAGUUGCCAUCAGGUCAAGCUGGGCACUCUAAGUGGACAGCCGGCGUAAGCCGGAGGAAGGUGGGGAUGACGUCAAGUCAUCAUGGCCUUUAUGUCCAGGGCUACACACGUGCUACAAUGGCGCAUACAGAGGGCAGCGAAGCCGUGAGGUGGAGCGAAUCUUGUCAAAGUGCGCCUCAAUUCGGAUUGCAGUCUGCAACUCGACUGCAUGAAGUUGGAAUCGCUAGUAAUCGCGGAUCAGCAAAGCCGCGGUGAAUACGUUCCCGGGCCUU
rnacentral:rRNA from 1 species